AUUGAACGCUGGCGGCGUGCCUAACACAUGCAAGUCGAGCGGUAACAGGUGUAGCAAUACAUGCUGACGAGCGGCGGACGGGUGAGUAACGCUUGGGAAUCUGCCUGAUAGUGGGGGACAACCCGGGGAAACUCGGGCUAAUACCGCAUACGCACUACGGUGGAAAGCCGGGGACCGCAAGGCCUGGCGCUAUCAGAUGAGCCCAAGUCGGAUUAGCUAGUUGGAGGGUAACGGCCUACCAAGGCGACGAUCCGUAACUGGUCUGAGAGGACGACCAGUCACACCGGAACUGAGACACGGUCCGGACUCCUACGGGAGGCAGCAGUGGGGAAUAUUGGACAAUGGGCGAAAGCCUGAUCCAGCGACGCCGCGUGGGUGAAGAAGGCCUGCGGGUUGUAAAGCCCUUUCGGUGGGGAAGAAAAGCCUCGAGUUAAUACCUCGGGGUCUUGACGUAACCCAUAGAAGAAGCACCGG
rnacentral:rRNA from 1 species